ensembl:lncRNA
CUCUCCAUUCCUCUCUCUCUCUCUCGUCUCUCUCACCUCUGGGCCACUCCACCCUUUUUUUACUCACUUCACCUUUCUCUGUCUAUAAACUCUUAGGCCGAAUUAGUGGAAGGAGCUUUAUGUUCAUACAUGUGGAAUUUCAUCAUAGCAAUUCAAUAAAGCUUUUGCAGCUGGGCUGCCCUGCCUCACUUGGAUGCAUCAACAAAGCUUGAAGUGGCCACUCUAAUCUGGACUAACCGCUCUGCCGGCUUCUGGUGAUUGGAUCCAGGUUGAACUCGGGAAAAUAUGAGACAGAUCUUGAGUGAAGAGAGGUCAUGUGAAGACGUGCAGUGGGGAUCUCACACGCCAGAUCUCACCUGGGAAGAAGCAGAGGGUUAAGAUUUCAUGACUGCUGGUGGGCUCGCUUCCGGAAUCCUAAAACGUCAGCUGUCAGCUCCAAAACAAACACUGCCGACUCCAACGAAAGGGAAAAGGAAACACAGAACAAAUCAAGAGUUCUCUACUCCAUGAAAACCGCUGGCAGAGUAAUACAGUAUGACAUGAGUCGAGGAUCAUUUCUCUGGUUAUUUCCCAGGCACUCCCAGUGCAUCAGAGUGGAGAACUUAAAAAAGAAAAAGAUCUUGGCCGACCGAUGUCACAGCUAGUAAUUUUUCAGACAAAGGAACUUUUAACCGUGUUGUAUCCAUUCUAUUAUAUCGAGCGCCAUGAACUGUUGUGGCAUUUACAUGAGAAAUGGGACUGGUGGUGAGCUUAGGCUCCAUCUCACAGUUAGCCAUCUCUCUAAUCCAAUCUACUGCAAUGGUGCUGGCACCUCACUACUAGGGCUGCAGCAGCAGGGGACUGCUUUGUUAGGAGAGGAAGGGUGUUAUAGUUUUGAGACCCCCAAACCUUACAGAGGUCACUGGCUUUGCUUUUCUGGCUUCCUCUUACUGUGGCGACAUGCGGCAUCAGAUGAACUGUCACCGGGUAUUCAAAGGCAACUCUUACUUUGAGCCAGAUGAGAUAUCCGCACAGAGAAUAGGACUAAUAAAUAAAAUAUUUCAUUUUGUUUGAGCAGGCUUUCUUCCAUUGAUGGUCGUCGUGUUAUUUCGGUGCCUGUGAACAAGGACACACAAGUGGAAGCCUAUUCAAAUAAGACCUUCCUAUGUCCUCACACUCGUUUCCAGACACAGAAUGGACAGAAAACACAUAAAUAUUUACUAAGCUCUCAGAGACAAAGAUGCAAUUGCUUUUACUCAGGCCUCCCC